rnacentral:hammerhead_ribozyme from 1 species
AUCCAGCUAACGAGUCCAAAAUAGGACGAGACGCGCUUUCUGAAU